rnacentral:rRNA from 1 species
UCCUUAGAUGUCCGGGGCUGCACGCGCGCUACACUGAAGGAAUCAGCGUGCUAAAACCAUUGUCGAAAGGCAUUGGUAAACCCAUUAAAAUCCUACGUGAUUGGGAUCGGGAAUUGCAAUUAUUUCCCUUGAACGAGGAAUUCCCAGUAAGUGUGGGUCAUAAGCUCGCGUUGAUUACGUCCCUGCCCUUUGUACACACCGCCCGUCGCUGCCCGGGACUGAGCCGUUUCGAGAAAAGCGGGGACUGCUGCUGUCGGGGCUUUCGGGCCUUGGCUUCGGUGGAAACCGCUUUAAUCGCAGUGGCUUGAACCGGGCAAAAGUCGUAACA